rnacentral:misc_RNA from 1 species
GUUGGAAAAUUAAAAAGCACUGAGAAACUAUGUCAUUCAUAUGUAUACAUAUAUAUAUGCAUAUGUGAGGAAAAUCAGGCCCUACAAAACGAAAAGACAUGAAAUCUCAUGAAUCCAUAUCUGACAAAACUAUCUAAUUAUAUAAUGUAUUAUACAUAAACAUUUAUACAGAAGUUGAGAAAAAAAGAAAUGAAAAGAAAAGAAAAAGAUUUGGCAUGAGCUCUCAGCAAGGAAGGUCUUUUCGCCCAUUGAAAACUCCAAACCUUCAACCCCCACUUUUAAUUGUUGUGUUGUGUACUAGUAUGAGCAAUAGCAUUAAUUCACACAUAUUGCGACCCUCUCUGGCCCCUCAUUAUUCAGCAAGUAAUGACUUCGUUGAAGCAGCAUUUUCUAUUUAAUUCUGUGUCUCCAGUCUCGGGUGAGCAUAAGAGAAACAAUUUUUGGAGGAAAAAAGAAAGAGAAAAAGCAAGAAUGGGUUUGAUCAAUUAGCUGUCUUCUUUGUUGAUAAUAGGUGUUGGGACUAAAACCGAAUCAAAUAUCCAAAUCUAGGGACAUGGAUGACUUCCCUUCGCGGAAAAACUUAGUGGAAGAAGGUACGGGUGGAAGUGGCGUGCCAUUUAAUUGGAGGGAAUGGUGGGAAGGUGAGGAAAUUUGAUGAGCCUGCAAUGCCAUAGUAGCAUGAUGAUGUGGAGGUAUUGAUGUGGCUGAGGACAAUUGGUCACAUUCUUCAGAAUCCGUGAUGGGGCAAUCCAUGUUUACACCAAACAGCCUCAGCCUCUUCGCUGCAGCUUUCCCUUGGACCACCGGCACCGACUCAUACACCAUUGGCUCCACGAACCCACCAGCUCCUUGUUGCUGCCAUUGCACCAUCCCCAAUCCAACCUGUUGCGGGGCUGUCGAUCUCCUGUAAAGCAUUGUCCCUGAAGACGGACAACGGUUUGCGCUCACAUUGCCGUAAUUGCAGCUAUUAUAACCGUAACCAUAAGAAGAUCCAACGCUGCCACCACCACUACCAUUGCAAUACGCAUUCCUAUUGGGAUUCGAGAAGUGAAGGUGGUCCCUAGGCAUCAUGGGCACCGCUGGCGGCCGCAUCAGUAGGGGACUCCAAGGGAUGGAUGAGAAGUGGUGGUGCUGCUGGUGACGGUGGUGGUGAUUGUGAGAGGUUGGGUCUGGUGCAUCAGGUCGGCGCCUCCAAUCAAUGUACAAAUGAUCGUUGCCCGUCUCACCCACCCCUCGCUGAAACGACACAAUAUCACCAGCAUCGAGUUUCUUCUCCUUUACAAAACGGCUCCAACCCUUGGUCAUCACAUAGCUCUGACUGCUAUUCCAGUAGGAGUAGCGGAAUCUCCAUGCUUUCCCAGUCCUAUCCUCGAAAUUCAAAAGAAGGCCCUUCUCGUUGGUUGAUGAAUCUAAUGGGAAGUACUUUUCUGCGUGCUGCUUUGGGAUCACAAGUCGAUUUAGCUUGCCCACGUCGCUUGGUGUGACUACCUUAUCAAACAUGUGCUCCUUCUCUAUGACAACAACAGCAGAUGAUUCUUCUUUGCAGCCUUGUUGCUGUUCAUCGUUGACAUCCAAAAGCUCAAGCUUGGCUGCAGCUCCGCUGUCAUUAAACCUGGAGAUAUCUUCCUGUUCUGGGUCAUACUUGCUGCCUAACCAAGAACCCAUUUGAGCUUUCUGAUGGUCAUAUAUUUGGGAUAGAGGAAGCAGAUUGCCCUUGUGCUGGGAGGAAGAAGAUGAUGGAGAGGAGGAAGAUGAAUAGGAGAAAGGGAGCUUACCUUUACUCAUCUGGUCUUCUUCUCUAAAACCCGAUCCAAAGUCCAUUUUUUGUCGAUCGAGUGGAUCUAUAAGGGUCGAGUAUUGAGAAGAAGAAGAAGAAGAAG